rnacentral:rRNA from 1 species
CCGUCUAGGACCGUGCGCCGCGUCAUGUGAAGCUCCUUCGUCGAGUCGAGUUGUUGGAAUGCAGCUCUAAUGGGUGGUAANUUCAUCUAAAGCUAAAUAUUGGCCAGAGACCGAUAGCGCACAAGUAGAGUGAUCGAAAAGAUGAAAAAGCACUUNAAAAGNNGAGUAAACCAUUAUGUGAAAUUGUGAAAAGGGAAGCGCUUCCANCCAGACUUNCGUGUGCCGGUUCCCCCAGCCUCUUCUGGUUGGGUUAUUCCGUCAUCUCCAGCCCAGCAUCGUUUUAGGUGGUCGGUCAAAGCCCCCGGAAAUGUAUCCCCCUCCGGGUCGACUUAUACCCCGGGGUGCAAUGCGGCCCCCCUGGCCCGAGGAACGCGCUUCGGCUCGGAUGCUGGCGUAAUGGUUGUAAGCGGCC